rnacentral:tRNA from 1 species
GGAUGUUCCAGGCGGAGGUUUCUAGAAUCGCACUCUAGAGGCCAGGGGUUCGACUCCCCUCAGCUCCA